rnacentral:rRNA from 1 species
AGGAUGAACGCUAGCUACAGGCUUAACACAUGCAAGUCGAGGGGCAGCAUGGUCUUAGCUUGCUAAGGCCGAUGGCGACCGGCGCACGGGUGAGUAACACGUAUCCAACCUGCCGUCUACUCUUGGACAGCCUUCUGAAAGGAAGAUUAAUACAAGAUGGCAUCAUGAGUCCGCAUGUUCACAUGAUUAAAGGUAUUCCGGUAGACGAUGGGGAUGCGUUCCAUUAGAUAGUAGGCGGGGUAACGGCCCACCUAGUCUUCGAUGGAUAGGGGUUCUGAGAGGAAGGUCCCCCACAUUGGAACUGAGACACGGUCCAAACUCCUACGGGAGGCAGCAGUGAGGAAUAUUGGUCAAUGGGCGAGAGCCUGAACCAGCCAAGUAGCGUGAAGGAUGACUGCCCUAUGGGUUGUAAACUUCUUUUAUAAAGGAAUAAAGUCGGGUAUGGAUACCCGUUUGCAUGUACUUUAUGAAUAAGGAUCGGCUAACUCCGUGCCAGCAGCCGCGGUAAUACGGAGGAUCCGAGCGUUAUCCGGAUUUAUUGGGUUUAAAGGGAGCGUAGAUGGAUGUUUAAGUCAGUUGUGAAAGUUUGCGGCUCAACCGUAAAAUUGCAGUUGAUACUGGAUAUCUUGAGUGCAGUUGAGGCAGGCGGAAUUCGUGGUGUAGCGGUGAAAUGCUUAGAUAUCACGAAGAACUCCGAUUGCGAAGGCAGCCUGCUAAGCUGCAACUGACAUUGAGGCUCGAAAGUGUGGGUAUCAAACAGGAUUAGAUACCCUGGUAGUCCACACGGUAAACGAUGAAUACUCGCUGUUUGCGAUAUACGGCAAGCGGCCAAGCGGAAGCGUUAAGUAUUCCACCUGGGGAGUACGCCGGCAACGGUGAAACUCAAAGGAAUUGACGGGGGCCCGCACAAGCGGAGGAACAUGUGGUUUAAUUCGAUGAUACGCGAGGAACCUUACCCGGGCUUAAAUUGCAGAUGAAUUACGGUGAAAGCCGUAAGCCGCAAGGCAUCUGUGAAGGUGCUGCAUGGUUGUCGUCAGCUCGUGCCGUGAGGUGUCGGCUUAAGUGCCAUAACGAGCGCAACCCUUGUUGUCAGUUACUAACAGGUUCCGCUGAGGACUCUGACAAGACUGCCAUCGUAAGAUGUGAGGAAGGUGGGGAUGACGUCAAAUCAGCACGGCCCUUACGUCCGGGGCUACACACGUGUUACAAUGGGGGGUACAGAGGGCCGCUACCACGCGAGUGGAUGCCAAUCCCCAAAACCUCUCUCAGUUCGGACUGGAGUCUGCAACCCGACUCCACGAAGCUGGAUUCGCUAGUAAUCGCGCAUCAGCCACGGCGCGGUGAAUACGUUCCCGGGCCCUGUACACACCGCCCGUCAAGCCAUGGGAGCCGGGGGUACCUGAAGUGCGUAACCGCGAGGAGCGCCCUAGGGUA